UAAUAAGUGUUUUAUGGCACUUUUAAAUCCAUAUCCACCUUGUGUGCAAUGUCAGUCGAUCUUCUUCAUGGAGAUCGACCAAACAUCAACCUUUAUUUUUAACUCUUUGUCUGAAAAAUAUUAUGAAUAAACAAUUCAAAAUA
rnacentral:misc_RNA from 1 species